CAGGGCUUAUUUUUGCAGAUGGAACAUUUGUGGUGAGUCUUCAGGUGUAGAAGCUGUAGCAAGCACAAAGCUGGAGGCAAGAAUGUCCCGAGAAAGAAACCCAGAGCCUCAGGAUCUAAGUUCAGAUCUGCUAUCCUCCUUCACACCCUUCUGCCAUGACUGCUGCCUCACCUGAGGCUGAGAGCAACACAGACAGCUGUCUAUGGACUAAGACCUCUGAACGAAAUGCACUUUUAGGACUGGGAAUAUCACUCUGGAAGAGCGGCCUAGCACAUGUGAUGUCCUGAGAGAAACGUUGAGUCAUUUUGACUGGAUCUGGAGAACUUCACAGAGAGUCCCUACAUAUUUGGGCCUUGAUACCAGGACCUCUUCCAUAGAGCAAUGAUGCAGGACGCAAUGUGAAGACCUGCCCGUGAUCCGUCCCUGUGCUGGAAACUGACCUCCUUGGGGCCUCCUUUAUACUACAAUCACCUUUAGAAGGCAAGUCAGCUCCGUGGACAUAGACAGCUGUUGUUAAAUCAUUGGGACUACAGCAGAUAGGCUGGUCUUGAUUCCUCGAAGAAAAAUUGCAGUGAACCAAGACACAGGGGACAGUGGUAAUCCCAGACUGCCAUAGUAGAAGGAAGAGCAGGGAAAGAGCCACAUUUGUGUUUCCAAUAUAGGAGCCUGAGCCAUAGACAUCAAUUUGGGCUUCUCAAGUUCUCAGACCUAAACCUCUGGAAUUGUGCCUGGUUUAUCAAGUUAAGGCUCUGAGUCCCUAUACUCUGGAAACAUGGUCAGUAUAUAUCUGCUCAUUUCCACUGAAAGCUGGAAGAUGGUCAGAGCCUAUUUGGAAGCAAUUCAUAACACUGUUCUAAUGUAUGCUGGAGAGAAAGCUAUCUGAUUAAAGACAGUGUAGUGCAGUUUAAAGAGGGCUUGAAUGCCAACCAAGAAGCUCAGACUUGAACUACUGAAGACAUUGGCAGCCGCUUUGGGUCUUUUGGGCAGGUGAAUCAACUGGUUGCCACUAAGUACCUCUCUGAGCCAGAGCUUCCCAUCUGUUCACAGGAGAUAAUGAAUUCUGGCUACCAAGUCCGCUGUGCUCACAUCAGACCAGGGUAAAAUGCUCCAAGAGAAAGGUGAGUCUAAGCCAGACGCCAGUGUCUUGAGCAGACUGGCACCAUGUCCUCAUGGCAGCAAAGUGUGGAGGCCGGAACCUUAAUCCAGGAUGGAAGUGUGGAGCCAGCAACUAGCCCAUAGAGGCCUGCCUCUUUUCUGGGCUGUUGAUUAGCAGUGAUUCCAAUGUGUCCCCAAGGGGCCACAUGGAGCAAGAUUCCAGGGCUUCAUCUUGCUAUCCAUCUCUGCCUGUCUCCACCUCUCUCUCUCAGUACACAUGCACACAAUCAUUUUCUUCAGGAGAAGCCAGCUGCUGUGUCAAGCAGUCCCAUGAAGCCCAUGUGGUGAGGAACUGAGAUCUCUUGCCAAGAGCUGCUUGAUGGAGCCAUCUUGGAUGUAGAUCCUAUGGCCCUAACCAAGUCUUCAAUAGAGCAACUCCGGCAGACUGACUGGUUACCAGCUCACGAAAGCCUCGAGGCUAGACCCAGCCAGCUUAGCUGUUACUGAUCCCUUGACCCUGAGAGUUAGGUAAUAAAUAGUUCCUGUGUUAAGCUGCUAAGAAUUGGAACCAUCUGUUCCCUGGUGAAGGAUAACCAACACAGGGACAUGGGCAGAUGGGAAGACUAAUAACAUUGGGUUGAUGGGGCUUCAAGGGGUGACACCAUGGACCCUUGAGUGAACUUGGACAGGACUUGUCUGCGUGGGCCUUAGCAAAGAGGAACCAUAUUCUGGGUAUAUGAAUCCCCCUGUGUAAUACCUGUCUGGGAGAGGGUUGCCUGGAGCAGAAGGUUUCUGAAAUGUAAGCGUUCAGUGCCUAGAGCUGGAACAACAGAGAGCUAAAGGAGCCCUUCCAGGAAACGUGGGGGGAUCAGCAGGAGAAAACAGCAUGGGACAGCCUCACACCCUCAAAUGUGGAGGGCUUCUUCACUCAUUUGUGCACCAGACAUUAUUUUGCUCCUAUUAUGUGCUAAGUUCUACAGACACAGAAUGAACUGCAACUGCUAGUUUCUAAGACCUUUUGGACAGAACGCUUCUGUCCUAUUUUCCCUACAAAUCUAGCUGUAGAGGAUGGCUUUAAGCACCUUAGAAUUUUCUGCACCCUCACUCCUUGGCCUGGUGGUUGCCUGCCAGCAACAGGGAACAUUACUAGUCAGACCGCAGCUCAGAACCCUGAGCACUAUGUCACAUUUUUUCGGGUUAUAUUCUCUUUAACACUGUUAAGAGCUCACACAUUUUGUCACCAGCUUCUUGGGUUUUAUUAGCUAUGUUAUCAGCUUUGUCUCUGGGACAAAAUACCUAAAAAACACAACUUGGAGAAGGAAAGGUUUGUUUUGGCUCUUGGUUUCAGAGAUCUCAGUCCAUGGCCGGCUGGCUCCACUGCUCUUGGCCUGAAGUAAGGCAGAGUAUCAUGGUGGCAGGGGCUUGGUAGAGAGAGCUGCUUACUCACAGCAGCCAGGAAGCAGGGGGAGGGGGGUGGAGAAAAGCAAAAGGGCCAGGAACAAAGUAAAUGCCUCCAGGGCACACCCCCAGCAUCACAAUCCCUCUGACUAGGCCCCACCUCCAAUCAUCUCCAUCACUCCCAAUAAUGCCAUCAAAUUACCCAUCAGUGGAUCAACCCACUGAUGAGGUCAAGAACUUCAUGACCUAAUCACUUCCCCAAAGCCCCACCCUGAAUGUUGGUACUGGAGGCCAUCAACACAGGAGCCUCUGGGGGACACUCCAGAUUCAACCUCCACUUGAGUAACAAUGGCCAUUUAGAGUGCCAGGUGGUUUAUCUGACUUAAUCCAUACAGUGACUUCCCAAUCUGAAAACGAGGCACCCAAGGCUCAGGGCUUUUCUGUUUCAUGUUCCAGCUCACAAGGCUGGAGAGUUGCAAAUGUAGAAUUCUAGAGCAUGUCUCUCAAAAUGCAUUCUGAAUCCAGGUGUUGAGCCCCAAUCAAUUUCUAGCCUGUACAAAGCACUUUGAAGAGCAAGGUGCUCGGUGACAUGAGGUAGAAGGUAGUGGGCAGGCAGACUGCUGACCUUUGCUGCUCAGUGUGUGCUGUGGCACUACUCGGGCUUACUAAAGUUCUUUUAAUCAAGAUGUCUGGCAACUUGUGAGCACACCAGUUGAGAAGCACAGCUGUUGAAGAUCUGUGAAAAUACCUACCCUAGUCAUGGGUGCAUUCCUCCAGUGUGACCCUGAGCUGUAAUAUCACUUUCCCUGGUCCCUACCAACACACCCAGGACCCAGAGUCAAACUCUGGGGCCUCAAGUUCUGUUCUCCAAGGCCAAGCACCACUUAACACCUGUGCUCACCCAGGGAUGAGGAGCCAGCAGCCACACCUGUGGAGCCAAGGGAGCCUGCACUGUUUUGUGUGCUUGUUUGCCCCCAGCAGGGAUUGGGGUGGGAAACCAUCAUCUUUGCUCCUUGCUCUGAAAAUACGAAGCCAAUGUUUUCUGCUGUAAUGUUUUUCCAGAUCUUGUGCCUACUGGGUCACUCAGACAAGAUUCUAGAGUUCAGCAAACAUGCUUCCAUCCAUCACCAGUGGAAGGCUUAUAGCAGAGGUGCUACAGAAGUAUCAUAUAAAGUAUCAGAUUGGCCCCCAGAGCAAUCUAAUGAGCUUCAUCCUCAACAGAACCAGCUGCCAUUUGAGUGUUAGCUGCACGGCAGAUACCAUGCUCAAAAUCCCCUCAAUUCUGAUGUGCAACAUUCAUUAUUCCUGUUGUAUGAGAAGGAAUGUGAGGAAUUAGUAGCUUAUGCUCUUAGCCACACAGCUCUUUUUAACAAUCCCCAAGGAUUGUUACUAAAAUCACUUAGUAUGCCUGCUUCAAGUACAGAACCAAGAGAACCCCCCGCUGCCCAAGCCAAUCUCUACAGAUGCAGCAUACUUAAGGAGAAAUCCAAGUGGAGUUUACACACACUAGUUGGAGAUGACUGUGCCGUGUUACAUUGUUCCCAUCUAAAUAAUGCCCUGAAGUAUCAUGGAUCUUAACCUUCAGAUUUGUUGAGCUGCAUAGAAAUGACCAGGUAUGCAUGUUAGAGAUAGCUCUGUGGUGGUAGUUAAAAAUGGGCUUGAGAAGCCUGUUGGGGAUAGAGACUUGUUUUACAGUUUUAUCAGAGUAUCACUCUAAGCCAUCAAUGCCAGAUGGUGCUCCAGAUUCACCUAAGUGACUUGCUCACUGUAUGGCUUCUCAAAUUCUCUCAGGAAAAUUAAAUUCUAAGAAUUACAUGGAUUCUGGGCUAAAAUUCUGAACCAAUUACUAACAGAAUAAUGCAGAUAAAAUUCAAAAGCUAACAGGGUCAGGAUUGGAAACUUGAAAGGCCAUCCUCUCAGCAGAACUUCAAAUUUUCAUACUAUUGGAACAGAUUUCAGCUCCAAGUUCUGACACUUCUCUGAAAUGCCACUAUCGCUUUAAAAUUUGCAGCCUUUAUUUUCAGACCUUAAAAAUCAUGGCCUGUCAGCAUGGCUUAUGCAAGUUGUGUUAUGCCCCCUGGUGGCAAUUUGGGUAGGAAUGGGGAGCAGGUUUCAAUCACAGGAUUAGGGCCCACUUAAUUGAAAUAGGUGGCAGGCCUGAAUUUGAAAUGGAGAUUCAUAUAAAACUUUUCUGGUCUUACUAAAAAUAGCAAACCUUCUAUUGAAUGAAAACCAGAUGUAUUAUAACUUCAGCCUGCAAGAUGCAUGUAUCAAUUUCCCUUGCUUUGUCAUGAACUGGAUGAGUUUCUUGGAAUGUCACUUGAAUUAAAUAUUUGCUCUUUAAGUGGCUGGACCCAAAUGAGCUCAAGUCUGAAUUCUCAGCUUCUCCUCCAGGUCAGUGCAGCAUCCACGAUGCCACAGCCUGCAGAGCAGCUGUGGCCCCAUACCCAGAAGCUUCAAAAAGUCACUUGGCCCAAAUCACUAUUCCCCUCAAAAUCUAAACUUUAUAAUUUAUUCUUCAGUCAAAACUGCCCAAUAUGGAUUUUGGUGGAUUAUACUGAGAGCUCUUGAGUGAGGUUUUAUUUUACCUGUUUGGGGGCAGAGAUAGAUGAGUGAUGAUAUCAAGCUACCAGAACAUUAUGCUGGAUUUUCCUGCUGGGCUAAAAUAACCCUGGAUUCUCCGGUGGGGCUCAGCUGGGUGGUAGAGCACUGCCUGGCACGCAGGAGCAGUGGGUGUGGAACCCAGAUGAGCCCAGUCCUCCACGUAGCAUUGAGGAAAAACAGAUUUCUCAAGCUGAUGUUGAGUAACCAUCAGGUGCAGGGCUCUAUGCAGACCAGAAGACGGAGACAGGGAGUCACCACUCCCACACAACGUGGAGAAGGUAUAUAACCCAGCAAACCCAUGAGACAUGCUGUAGUGAGGACAACUGAAGAUAGGGAAGAGGUUAAGUCUGCACUUGGGAGAGGUGAGUGCUUCCUAGCAGGUGACUGGAGGGCCUAUAGUGCUGAGGGAGCCACCUCCCAGGGCUGGAGGGCAUAGCUCCACAAGCAGGAGUGAAAAAGAGUGGCUGAGGUCCCUGACUGCAUGCACAGAGUCCAAGAAAACACUUCACUAGCUCUGUUCAUGAAGUCAUCAGCCAAAAACCCUAACAGGCAUUUAUGUCCUGAAGAUGCACAAGAAAAACACACAAGUUGAAAUACGCUUACUCUUCAAUAAGCAGUGCUAACUGCAGUCUGUACAUCAGGUUAAGCAUCGCCACCUUCAUUUCUGUUCCAUGAUGCUCAGAUGAUCCUUGCUUUUCAUCACAGCAACAGCCAAAGUCCCAGUUUCGUGCAGGCAGGAAAGCAGGUGGCUUCACUGACUGAGCCUGCUUGAGCUGGGGUCUGCAAGGCCAUCUGACAGUUACCAGUUAUUUCUGUUUCCUCUGGAAAUUAAAAAUAUCCCAUGGUUCUUCUAUGAGUUCACCAUGAUCACCCAAACAAAGCCUGAAAAGCCAAGACUGCACAGAUCCCCAAUGACCUAAUUUCACAUUAGUCAACUACACCCCAAUGCCUAGGUAGAAGCGAAGUGGAAAGGUGGUCAAGAAGGGGUGAUGCAGACUGAAACACGGGUGAAGGAGGCAAGGAGCCAGGUGCAUCAGAUGAGGUCCUAACUGGAGAGACAUGAGGCAGCCAGGGCAGAGCAUGGUAAACACAGGGGCUCCUUUCAUGGGCAGAAGUGCAGUUAGGGAAGCUAAUUACAGUAUGUGACAACCACAUCUGCAUUUAACUGGCUUCCCUUGUAGUCCUGGUGUUUUAUUUCAUGCAUGAAAACUCUUUUUUGAAAGAGGCCCUUAGGCUUCACCAGAAUGCCAAACGGAUACAAACACUGAUUUGUCAUCAGAUAUGCAAGUCUGGAAUUCAAGAGAAGCGCAAUAAAUAAAUAAAAUGUGUGUGGAUGUAUAAUGGUAAUGCAUAAUGGAAGCCAGGGGUACUAAUGGACAGUUUCAAGGAGCAGAGGUUGCUAUACAGGUGAAGGGUAGAAGCCUAGAACAGAGAGUCAAGGGUGAGAUUUCAGGGAGAAAGUGAAAGGAAGAUAGAACUAAGAACUGAGAGAAGAGCUCCCUGAUGGGACUGAUCCUGCAUGGCGGAGGUAAGGAGGACGAAGACUGAGAAGCAUCUUGGAGUCCUGGAAAGGGAGUGCUCUGUGGCAGAAGCUGCAGUACCAUGAAAGGUGGAUUUACAAGCACAGCAUAACGAUCCAGAAAUUCAUGUGAACAAAGAAGUGACAAUAAUAAUAGAGACAGGAAGAGAUGAGAAGCCUGUGGCUACAACUACAAUGUCUCCUGGACUUACAGGCAGACUUCCUGCAGAUCCCAACUCCUGGCUACUGAAAGAUAAACGAGAAGGCAGGCGGAUCUCAGCUCAGCACCCAGUUCCUCCGCCUGGAUUCACUCCUCUGCUGCUUUUCCCACUCCAGGGCUUCCCUCCAUGGAAGGCCUGGUCUCUACGGAGUGCAUUCAUCGUCUCUAACAAAGAGCAAAGCACUUGAAACCUUAGAAAGUACCUAAGCCUAACACAUAACAGGCCCCCAUUUCCUCAUGAUGGAUCCAGGAAGAGCGACAAUCACACUCCAACUUCCCCUUCAAUUAACCACUCUCCAAGUGUGGGGUCAGGGAAACACUCCAGACCUCAGUCUCCUAAGGAGCAACAGUUCCAACCUUGGCUCAGCUACUGAAUCUUUGGGGACCUUCAUCAUUACUGAUGUAUAAGGGAGUGACAAUAUAUCCUAGUCCUGCUUGAGGAGAACCAUGCAAGAGCCUGCCUACAAUGCUCAGGGCACAGCCAGGGCUCAAGCAUGGCUUGACUUAACAGCCACCAUGGAAAUAGCAGAAAAACAGGUACUUCAAAGGUAACUCCAGCCAGUGCACAUAGCAAGGGACUGGGCAGAUACGCAAGUAGCUGCACAAG